GCCGGUCCUCGGUAGUGGCCCCCGGUCAUCAUGGCGUAAGCCGUACGGAACCGGGCGCUUCGAUCGAAGACCGGC
rfam:Streptosporangium subroseum strain CGMCC 4.2132 genome assembly, contig: Ga0079903_1012